rnacentral:misc_RNA from 1 species
GCUUGUUCCUUGUUGGAGUCCUUCAUUUGGAAGUACAUCAAGUAUGCCAAAUGGUUCUUCGGGCCUACAAAAUGAUGCAACUUCCAAGGCAGUUAGCGAACAUGAUUUCUUGCCUUCAGUUAAUGUGAUUGGUCAAGAGACUUCAGAAUCAUUCAAUUCAGGCAUAUCUGCGGAAUUUCAUAUGACAAUUGCCUCUUAUACAAGCACUAACAAGCCCUUGGGAUCUUCUGACUACUCUGUUGAGUUGAAUACAACUGAUUUUGGUUCUGAUUUUGGGAUGCAUGUUGAUAGUGUUUCUAAAUAUGACAAAUCCACAAAAAAUGCCGAGGAUAGUCUUUCUGAACUAAAGCUGGAGCUCAAUGCGAUUGA